GUGCUUGCUUUGGCAACACAUAUACUAAAAUUGGAACGAUACAGAGAAGAUUAGUAUGGCCUCUGCAGAAGGAUGACAUGAAAAUUCAUGAAGUUUUUCAUAUGUUU
rnacentral:snRNA from 1 species